CGCAUUAUGCAAGAGUAUGGAAAAACCAAAUCUCUGACAGAUGCCACCAGAAGACAGAUGAUUAACAUACUUGCUGCUGAGAUGACAGAAACACAUGGGACAUCCCCCCCAAAAGUGUUAGAGUGAUGUAUGCACAGGGGAUAGUAACCUUGUUUCCCUAUCUAGAAGACCCAUACUCACAACAUGGAUAUGAACAUUACUACGAUCCGGAGAGUGGUUCGGGAUACCUUGCAUGGCGAUUGAAGACCAUACAGAGAAAAUCAGCAGAGGAAAGAGGUGCCUCAGUCAGCAAAUCUCCUAAAGUUGGUGGGCCAGGCCGUGGUCGUCAGCCCUUCGCCAAUGAUAGAGAGCUGUCUGAUGAGGAUGUGGAAGCAGCUAUUGCUGUUUUAAAACACUCUUCUGAUGAAAAGACUGU